UUGGCUGGACCGCUUACAAACAACGAGAC
rnacentral:piRNA from 1 species